CAACUCUUACAAAGGCCUUUUCUUUUUCAGAUGUCCUACUAAGUGCACUGUGGACCUGUAGACCCUUCCCAUGAGCCAUUGCACUCAAGGGAGCCUCGAGGAUUGCAUAAUUAUGUAUAAAGGUUCUGCAAUAAGAACACAUGUCUAAAAAUGACAUUAGUUUCGUUAUUUUGGGCGUUGGAUUGUUUUGUAUAACUCUGUUUUCUUGAGCAUGAGCAUGCUCAAUGUCCUUUAGUGCCCAGGGACGGUGUACUAGCAUGGGGUCUCCAUCCUUCCCCACUACUUCCACCAUGGGCAUUUUAAUCACACUCUGAAGUUGCUGUUUAACGUCCAAAGUCGAAGCCUUUUCUUCAACUGGCUCAGGAUCAGCAUUCUCCUUCUGUUUUCCUCUCUGAAGUGCACACCUGUUGACAUGACGUAGCCGCUCCCAGACGUGGUCGAGGAGGCGGUCCAUCCAGUGCUGAUUUCACUCAUUCCAGAAACACAUGCUGAAGGGCAACCUAAAGCUGUGUUGUCCAUAAAGCCUGAAAAACAUGUGUACACUGGCGAGAAUAUCACUCUCAGAUGUAACAUAGAGGGAGGAGACAUUAAGU